CAGCGCAUUGGCAUUAGUGUAUUGGUGAUUAAAUUAUAGUGCUGAAAUACCUAAUUUAUGUAUCUGGUGUGACAGAUUUUAAGGCGAAAGCCAUAGCCAUACCAACUGGCAGCGGAGAGCUCCUCCCCUGCUCUCAUACUGGGAAUAUACAUGUGCAUAUAAACACUGCAGAACAGAUUGCUGGAUCAGUUUAUCAAGGCACUUCAUCAGGCAGUCCAGGCAGCUGGAAUACUGGAAUAUUGCAUGCUCACACACACAUACACACACACACGCACAAAGUGCAUAACAUUUGCAUAUCAACUCUUGCAGGAAUUGAAGACUCUGAUUUGAAGGUUGCUCCGGUUUGAACAAAACCUAAGUCAAGAUGGGGAAUGAAGCGUCUUACGAAAUGCAGGACCAUAAAGAGGUCAACGGAAAGCUCCAGAAUGGGGGCUUGAAUGGCCACGCUGUGAGCAUCUCUUUGAAGGAGGAACCCAAUGAAAUGGCUGUACAACAGUUCAAUGUCCUCCCCACUCCUCCUAUCGCAAAGGACACAGCCCCCACGGCAGCAAGCGAGCCAGACGGUUUGAAAGCACCCAGCAGCACCCCCCAGGUUCAGCCAUCUCCAAACAAGCCAGAUCCACCCUCUUCUAAAGCCCCAGAGAACCCAUCAUCUGAACUGGUCAACACGGAGGUGCCCACAGAGGGGCAGAGCAGCACCCAGCCACCUCAUGCCUCAGACCCUGAGGAGGAACCCAAGCCUGCCCCUGAGGCCAAGGUUCCCCUCUUCAACAAGCUUUUCAAGAAGAAAACAGAGGACAAGGUUCUGAAGGAUGUGCCUACAGUGCAGCUUGAAGUCUCUGAAGGGGAGAAGCCUGUUGUGAUGACAGUCACCAUAGAUGGCCUCCAGAGUGCGCCCGGACGCACCAAGGAGAAAGCGGCCACGACCAAGGGUUCGAACGGCCUCAGUGGCACGCCAGUGGGAAGCGAAGCCCCCGGCGCCAACGGUGAGAGCGUUCAGGCAGAGGAGACCAAAGAGGGCAAGAGUAUCGUAGAGGAGAACCCAGUAAUGAACUUCUUCAAAACGUUUACAAAGGGCCCUAAGGAGCCUGAGGGCAAGACCAAGCUGGAGAAAGGGUCCCCAGCGAAGGAAGCAGUCCCAUCUGCAACAGAGCCCAAAGAUCUGGAGCCCAGUCCAAAGGACUCUACAGGCGGGGCCUUCAGCAAACUCUUCCGACAGAAGUCUUUUAAGGAUACCCAGCCAACAACCACAAAUGGCGUACAGGAAGUAGAUGCUGCUACCGCUGCAAAGACUGCGAAGACGGUGCCUCCACCAGAGCCACCCAAAGCUGAAACCAAAGCAGAACCAGCUGCUAAAAACAUCCAGAAAGAGGGGCUCAAAGACGUGCCAAGUGGCCCGGAAACGUCCGCCAAGAAGCCUUCUAAAGGUGGCCGCUUCUCCAAACUUUUUAGUUCUAAAACGGCCGCUUCGAAGGCCAGUACCCUAGAGGCCACUCCACCACCAGAGCAGCCCCCGAAACCAAUGGAGAAAAAGAAAUCUAAUCUCAUCUCCAUUUUCAAGACCAAGGUACCGCAACGCCCGCAAACCUCUAAAGUCCAGGCUGUGCCGGCAUCUGGAAACAGUGUAACGGUCAACACCGAAGCACCGGCCCCUGAGGCCACAAAGGAAACCCCCCCUGAGGCUCCACCGCUGCCGGAGGCUGCACCCAGCGCCAAGGCGAAAGAGGAGCCCAAGCCCCCCGCAGAGGCCGAGAAGAAGAAGAGCGGCAAGCAGGAGGCUGCCCCUAAAGCCAAGGCUCCUGAGGUCACCGCCGACAACAAGUUGGUGUCUGAGGCCUUGCCAGGUGGAGAUGAUGUUGUCCCCAGUGUCACCAAGAAGCUUGAGAAGAGGAACUCAAUCCAUUUGUUCUUCAAAAGUUUGGGACCAAAACGACUGUCAGAGGUUGGAGUUCAGACCGAUCCUGUGACCAUUACUUACCCCUCUGAAAAGGCCAAGUAACAUCCCACUGCUCUGUUUUCUAAACCCGUGAAGAAAGGCAGGGCAAAACAAACUUUUGUAUAUGUACAUCUUUUGCGUUCUCAUCUGAUUUUCGGUGCAGAAGGGCGGGUGGUGAGAUUUUACAAUGUGCAGCGGGGGUAAGAGCAAGUGGUCGUCGACUGAAAGCUGACGGACAACUGUCGUGUAUGGAAUGGAGGGAAGGGAGGGGUUGGAUCAUGGGGGGCUUUCUUGUGAAAGAGGGUACUUCACUAUGGACGUCAGUGGUGUUUAUGGUGAAAAGGCAAUAGCUAAUCAAUAGAAAUGAUUGACUCUUCUACUGACUGUUAAUUGACACAGCCUUCAUUUUUUUGUCAUAUAGAGUGACGACAGUUUCAUAGCUAGCCUUCGCUCCUGGAAAUGCUUCAUAUAAAACCUUCUAAACUCAAACUUCUUAUUUAUCUCUAUGUUAAAUGGUCUAAUAUAUUAAGAACAUUAUUAUUACUUUUGUUAUUUUCUUUUGUAAGCAUAUAGUUUGUUGUAGAUUGUGUAGGACAUUAAAAGUAUAUUGACUGUAUGAUCAGUUUGCUUUAUUUUCAGACUGUAAAGUGAAAUUCUUGCUUAUAUGUGCAUGUACUGUGAGGAUUAGUGGCAAAGCUGUGAACCCAUGAAAUCUAUAUUUCGCAGCUCACAUCUAUAUUUUCACAGCUUGUUGUAAAACAUUAUUAAAGAAAUUCUACCAAAAGUCAAAAGUCUCAAGAAACGGCAAACCGGGGGAAAAUGACAUAAACUGAACAGAAAAGGAUCUAUGAUCAGAAAAAAAAAUUAAAAAAAAAAAAAAAAAAAAAUUCCUAUAGCCACUAUAGAAUUUCAAAUUUCAACUCACAACUUGCAGUUCUUUUGUGAG
ensembl:lncRNA